CCUCCCGCUCUCGCGAGACUUCCGCGGGACUGUCGCGGCCCUCAACUAGGCCCGCGACCCCGGCCGGGGGGUGUCUGGUCUGGCCCGGCCGCUGCGUCGUCAAAUCUGCAAAACUACAGUCAACCUUGAUGCAACCACAAAACAUAACACCUGAACCUGCCAUCUUUAAACAAGGUGACCACGGCCAUCGCUGUCCUUGUUGGAAAAGUUGUUAAAAAAGCUGAAGAGAUCCAAGGAAGAGGACCACACCCCCAGCUACAGAGGAAGAAAAAAACCCUCACAGUCCAUGUCAAUCUGACUUUUCCAAACCACUACAGUUCCUUGGGAUUAUGCAUGUUCCUAUAUUUUAAACCUCCUGUUCAGAAUUACUUAUAUACCUAAAGAAGACAUUAUAUAACAACAGCACAACAAGAUUAAGACAACAGUCUUAAUGAUUUCAGCACGACCAGGCAAAACCAUCCAGCCGUUCUCAGAAUACAUAGGAAACAGUCACAAGGUAUGACAAGGCAAAUGGUAGGAGGGGCAAAGUUUUCCUACUGACUGCCUACAUGAAAAUAAAAGAUCCACAUACAUUUUGAAUUUCCAUCUCAUUUUGGAGCUUAAUAAACAAAUGCCACCAAAUUAAGGCUCAACAAGGAGUCUUUUGUCUAAAAGGAAUACAAAAAGUUUAGAGGGAGAUCUUUGCCUUAAACUGCAGGUUGGAGGCGGUUGCUUCUACUAAGAGAAGGCGAGGAACCUUUGAGGCCUGAACUGUAAGGGCACAGUUAUUUUCUUUUAUUUCCUUUGUUGAAUACAGUGAGUGGGCAGAGCAGCCCAAACUUUUAUUAUAAAAUGAUUCCAAAUAAAGGACUCUGUCUUCUUGAACCUUGAAAGAGGUAUGGCUGGAGCUUGCAGUAAAUGAACUGGCAAAAGGCACAACCAGCUCACAUAGAUACAAGAAUUUUCUAAGAUUUUUCUCAUCCCAAACAGAGAGAAAAAGGUCAAUCUCACAUUUUCAUGAAUUUUAAUAAUAAUUCAAAGUUGUUUUGAUCCAUAAGUCAGAGACCUAGUUCACUGAAAAGUUUCAUUUCAGUUUUGUUUUGACCUUUUCAUAAUUUUUAUAGUUUUAAAAUAAAAUAAACUUUGGACUAACCUUAUAUAAUAGUGUGUGUGUGUGUGUGUGUGUGUGUGUGUGUGUGUGU